rnacentral:rRNA from 1 species
GUACACGCUGUGACUAGCAUAUCAAUAAGCGGAGGAAAAGAAACUAACAAGGAUUCCCCUAGUAACGGCGAGUGAAGCGGGAAGAGCUCAAAUUUGAAAUCUUAAAGGGUUUCCCUUUACGAAUUGUAGUUUAAAGAAGUGUUUUCUGUUGAGGUUUUGGUAAAAGUUCUUUGGAAUAGGACAUCAUAGAGGGUGAGAAUCCCGUAUUUGACCUUUACUUUCAACUUUGUGAUACACUUUCAAAGAGUCGGAUUGUUUGGGAAUGCAGUCCAAAAUGGGUGGUAAAUUUCAUCUAAAGCUAAAUAUUGGCGAGAGACCGAUAGCGAACAAGUACCGUGAGGGAAAGAUGAAAAGAACUUUGAAAAGAGAGUUAAACAGUACGUGAAAUUGUCAAAAGGGAAGCGUUUGACACCAGUGUUGUUUUUCUGAAAAUCAAUUAAAGAACUGUUUAUGCUAAGUUGUUUAGACUUUAUCAGCUAUACUGUUUAGUUUUGAGCUUUUCUUUAAUGCACUUUUCAGUUAACAAGUCAACAUCAAUUUCUUUUGCUGUAAAAAAGCUUGAGGAAGGUGGCUUGAGAUUCGUCUUAAGUGUUUAUAGCCUCUUGCCUAUGCAGUCGGAGAGAUUGAGGUCUGCAGCGUAGAUCCUUCGGGGCUAAAUGCAUUUGUGCUAAGUUAUAGCAUUUUAUAGACAACUUGUUGACUAUGAUUUGUCUUGUAGCUUACUCGCUUAUGUUAUUUUACCUACGCUUAGGAUGUUGAAGAUGUAGCACAUCAU